GUUGGGAAGGACGGUACCGUACGAAUAAGGAUCGGCUAACUCCGUGCCAGCAGCCGCGGUAAUACGGAGGAUCCAAGCGUUGUCCGGAUUUAUUGGGUUUAAAGGGUGCGUAGGCGGAUUUCUAAGUCAGAGGUGAAAUCUUGCAGCUUAACUGUGAAACUGCCUUUGAAACUGGGAGUCUUGAAUUUUCUGGAGGUGGGCGGAAUGUGUCAUGUAGCGGUGAAAUGCUUAGAUAUGAUACAGAACACCGAUUGCGAAGGCAGCUUACUAAACUGAAAUUGACGCUGAGGCACGAAAGCGUGGGGAUCAAACAGGAUUAGAUACCCUGGUAGUCCACGCCCUAAACGAUGAAUACUCGUUGUUGGCGAUAUAACGGCUGCGACCUAGCGAAAGCCUUAAAUAUUCCACCUUGGGAGUACCACCGGAAGGGUUGAACUCAAAAGAAUU
rnacentral:rRNA from 1 species